GACGAACGCCGGCGGCGUGCUUAACACAUGCAAGUCGAGCGGUAAGGCCCUUUCGGGGGUACACGAGCGGCGAACGGGUGAGUAACACGUGGGUGACCUGCCCUCAGCUCUGGGAUAAGCCUGGGAAACCGGGUCUAAUACUGGAUAUGACUCCAUGACGCAUGUUGUGGGGUGGAAAGCCUUGUGCGGCUGAGGAUGGGCCCGCGGCCUAUCAGCUUGUUGGUGGGGUGAUGGCCUACCAAGGCGACGACGGGUAGCCGGCCUGAGAGGGCGACCGGCCACACUGGGACUGAGACACGGCCCAGACUCCUACGGGAGGCAGCAGUGGGGAAUCUUGCGCAAUGGGCGAAAGUCUGACGCAGCGACGACGCGUGAGGGAUGACGG
rnacentral:rRNA from 1 species